UGGCCAUUUUUCGCAAAUUUUGAUGAUGGUACCCCUUAUCAAAAAUGCAAAAAUUUGUCAAUUUUUUUUUUUUCGAAAACCGAAAAAAUAGGGAUUGACAUAGUUAGCUAUUUUUAUUAGCAGCACAAAACAGUCUUUAUUUUACCUGUGCGGCCAUUUUUGGCCAAGUUAUGGCGAUUACGCCGAUUGAAAAUAUCCUAUCUUUUACAACAAUUUUUUUUUCUGAUUUAUUGAUAAAAAAUAUUCCGUUUUUUUUCGAUAGCAGUAAAAAUAAUUGUCCAAAGAAGUUUCGCCGUGUUUCUGGAACUGUGGCCAAAACACACACAUAUGGGAUGCGUGGUGACGCCUUAAGUGGAAUUCAAAUGUGCUGCGUAUCGUUGGCACAUAAACAAGUCCCAGCACAUCGCGUGCUUUUUUUUUUGGGGGGAAAAGAGUUUCAGACCCAACCAGCCAGGAGAUAUGGCUUCCGUUUGUCGCAUGAAUAUUUUCAUCAUAAUCGUCGCUAUUUUUAUGUUCCUGCUGACGCUACAGCAACAACUGCACGGGAAAAAAAUAGAUUCCGAUUGUGUAAGGCUUAAAUUGAUCUUGAGAACUCACAAACCAAUUAAGUCUUAAAAUAUAUACUGAGAGAACUAUAUAUUUUUUAUGAGUACACAUAAAUCUUCAAUACCAUUAAACAUUACUUAAUCAUUUAGGUUUGCUGAUUCGUAUAUAGAGUAUGCUAGUAUGUUGCAGCUAUACAAGUUCCCACUUUAAUUCAUGAUAUUUCUUCUAUUGCAUUGCUUUGUUUUUCUAAGUGUACAAGUAUUUGCCAUUAAGGGGACUUAUUGUGUGUGUGCUCUAUGCAAAUCUCUUGCUGUGCUCCUGCUGCUUUUUCGCUGGCCUUGGCUUUGCUUUGAUGGGCAAUCAACACGCUCGCAGAAAAAGUGUUCAUAUGCAUGCACUGCAAGAAAAAACCACCCCAAGGGCAGUGGGCGUGGCAGUGGCAGCUUAGAUCACAGGCGGCGUCACUAAGCGCACAUUCGAUUGCAAUGAAAACAUGAAAACAUUCACAAGGGCCACUCCACGCCAUAUAUUUACCCAUGCAUUACUCACUCUUCACUCGCCUCAUCAGCGCAUCGUUUGUGUUGUAAAUUGAUUUUUUGUUAAUUUUUAUGGACUUCAAAGGGAAAAACAGCAGCGGCAGCAGCGGCAGCAAAAGAAGAUGCAGAUGCAGAUGAAGGGUGCAGCACAUGUGCGGCAUUCAUCCAGCGAAGAAGCGUGGAAAAAUUUCACAAAUAUAUAUUUCCAUAAAUAUUUUAUUUAUAAACACGCGCGCGUUCGCAGUGUCAAAACAGCGUCAUAAGCGCUGCCAGGCGGUCAGAAUGGAUGCCCCACCAUGUGAAGUGCUCCAAUGGCAGGGGAUUGGAUGUGGAUCCGCAUAUGGAUGUGGAUGCAGAGGUGGAGAUGCUUGUCGGUGGCGCACUGGCGGCAGAAGCGGCAGAAGCGCCACAAGUCAAGUGCAACAUCGGCGCUGGCAAAUGAAAAUUUCGUUGCAUUUUGUAUCUCUGAAGCUGCGACGCGUCGCAGCAAGAUGCAAAGUUCAAUUUCACAUGUGGAAAAUAACAGUGGAAUCAAAUACGAACGAAAAAAAAAAAACGAAUACAAAACGGUAGGAGGGAGCUCAAAAAUACAACAGAGGAAGCACAUGUCACACUGCACAGUACGUGUGUGCGGUGGAAAUGGAUGAUGGGGUGUGGGUUGAAAAUGCUGGAAAAACUGGGAGGCAACUGGGAAAGGGGGGGAGCAACUGGCUUGACAGACGGCACCGACACGAGAGUGGAAAAUAAAUUGAUGCAGCGGGAAAUGCAGAGAGUGCCGGAAAGGAAAAGCGCACCACGAUGGAUGGAAUGCCAGGGAAAAAGAAUGUCCAGCCAGGUAAAAUACUAUAGCAAUACAACUAAAGAUAGAACCAGACUUGCACAUAACUUCGAAAUGCCUGACGGGAGAAGAAUCCAAUAUUACUCACCUUUCUGCAGCUAUCAACAAAAUUUAAAAAAAAAACCAUCGAUUAUGCAGCUCAUGUGAGUGUGUACUUCUUUCUCUGCAGUUAAACUUGAGCGCAGCAUUAAAGAUAAUGUUUAAAGUUCAAUGAAAUGCACUUUAGAUACAGACUCCUUUGUCAAGUAGUUAAAUAAAGGGUUUCAUUAAAAAGCUGAAAAACUCGGCAUUCAUUCAAUGGCCGAGUCACAAAAGUGCAGCCCAACCGAUCGAUAUGUUGACAUAAUAUCGAGCAAAAGUUACCAUUGAGUGGUAAACUUGAGGCUCCAUUGUUUGGCCCCACAAAAGGCGAGUGGUCCAAGGAUAGGAACAUGUGUAGUUUCUGGAUGGCGAAGACAAUGACAAUUCCCGGUCUGGAACUUGUACUCCCACUCCCAUUCCCACACCCAAUGCAUUCUAUAUGUUUUUCACACACAUUUCACAUUUUCUCCGGUCUUAAUUUUCUUUUUGCACUCGUCCGCCCAUCUCGCCAUCAGAUCUGCACCCAUUCUCCGGUCGCAGAGUGUUUCUCAUAAAUAUUAUUGCAUUUUCGCAUCUCCUGCUGUUGUUUAUGAACUGCAUUUUCCCCGCAACUCGGCCAUGUGCCACUCACCCUCCCGCUCGGAAAAGCUUUUUAGACCAAGUUGAUUCAACACGACUCGAACAACUUGAACAACUGGCCGCAACAAAAGCGCUGGCAAUAGCCACUUCCUGUUUAGCGCGAAAUUUCAAUUAUGAGCAAACACGACCACGCCCCCACAGCGCACUCAAAAAGAAGAAUAGAUAAAGUAAUAUGCACAAGUUUCCGUUUUCUUUAUUAAACAGAAGAAAUCACUUUUGGCCCAUUUUCAUGGGCGUCGGGGCGUGCACUCCUGCAGAUGUUUCAUUUCUGGUCGUGGAAAACGAAUCGCUGAAAUCGUUUUCCCCUCACCACGCACCAUUCAAAUAUAUAGUAUAAGUAUGUAUAAGUAUAAGUAUAUAUAUCCUGUACGUCCAGCUGAGUAUGUGCUUGUGUUCAGUAUAUGUAUGUAUAAGUUACUGCGCCCGCUGACUACUCAAACGUGACUGGCCAAAGUUUUUCAAUAAACUUUAACAAGAAAACAUUAAAAAGCCACAACGCUGGCGCAUUUCCAUUUCCAGUGGCUCAGCGGCUCAGCGACGAGCAGCCAAGAAGUCAAAGCUUCAACUCCAUAAAAGCGGCAAAUAGUUGUGUGAAAAGGCAGUUACCCCAACCCUCCCAGCACAUAGAUUCUUUUUUGUGCGUUUUCCACCGACUUUUCCGCCAAGAGAGGGGAGGUGGCGAGUUCGCAUAUAAAUUUCAAAUAAAAAGCAAAUCUACGGAACUCCUUCUUGGCCAGCUUCGGUGUCAGCUGGUGCCGCUCUAGCUGCUCAGCUUUGUGUUCUAGAUACACGAAAAAUAAUAAGUGUCUUUCUUUGAUAGUUGACUUUGUAGAAGGGAGGAGCCAUGGAAAUGAUCAUUCUAAUGAAUUCUGUUGAACAUUUUGUGUUGUGAUUGAUCACAGAAUUAUCAUCCUUUUUCCAUACUUUAUACUUUAAAUUAACCACUUCUUUAGGUGGUGCAGAGUUAGUUUGCCAUAUUUUUCGCAGUGUACUGAUUCCUCAUCAUCGUGCUUGGCUCUUGCGAUGAUGCCACCCGCGAGGCUGCUGAUGGCUGGCAGUGCCGCAUUACGCGGCAGCGGCAGCGAAAUGAAAUAAAUAUCAUUUUAUGACUUUUUAACUUGUUUCUCUCGCUCGCGCUUCCCUUUUUUAGAUGCCUUUAACAAGCGCAAUAAAUGCAACACUAAGGAUGAAUGGUUGGGGUUUUCACCAGCGAGGGGUUACAAACGCUGGAGGGACUCUAUAAAGUCGGAUUGUAAGAUCUGGCACUUGCAGCUGCUGUUGGCCGCCCUUUUAUGGGCCGCAACUUCCCUUUUUUGUUGCUGCUGAUAUUUUUAGCUGCUCAACGCAUUUGCAUUUUGCACUUGAUUGAGUGCCCGCCGAACUCUUUCAUUACCCACACCCAUCCAUCCUUGGGUAUCCCCAACUCCCCAAAUAGCAUCGAUUUUCCGGCACUGUGAGUAAUGCUUCCGUUAAUCAGCGCAACCAGCAACAUCACACCAUCGACCUUGUUUGUUAGUCAGCCCGAAAGUCAAAAGGUGCAAAUCAGUUAACGUUUGCCAUCGACAACAGCGUUUUGGCCCUUUGCACUUUGUCCUUUCUGCUUUCAGUUUUUAGCUUUCCGCUUUCCGCUCCACUUCAGUUCACUUCGAAAUUAACCCUUCGGGGGGCAUGGGUUUUCGUUUCGUUAGUCAUAAAAAAUUCAAUUUUAUGAGCGCCUUUAUUUGUCCACUUCACCCCACUACACUCCACUCCACUCCACAGUUUGUCUGCCCAAUUCGCAGCGGGUGGUUUUUGGGUGGAAACUGGGUAGCUAUAUAGCUGCCAUAGUUACUUUUAAAUGCGCCACUUGCACACAAAUGGAAAUAUGCCAUAAAAAUAAUAAUAACAAUUAAAUAAUUCAGCUUUUUUCGACAAUUCACUUCAGGCGGCAGUUACCGAAUAGCAUACUUUAAACGUUUACUCAUAACAUUUCAGAGGACACUUUGUUGUGCAAAAACUGGCAGUUGCUUUAAUUACAGUUGUAUCAAUUGAUCAAAGUGACUAAAGUAGUCUUACUUAUUACAAUUUACAAGGCACUCUUUAAUUCUAACUUUAGCUGAUACUGAUAUGAAGUGGGUGCGAUUUCACAACCACCUGGCGUUGUAAUCAAGUCUAGUCACUUGUCUGUGUAAUUCCACCUAAUCCCCAAGCGAUUAAUAUUGUAUUGUGUCUGGUGAAUCACGCAAUCGCCAGGACACCCAGGACACCCAUCACCCUUCAGCCUGUGCCGACAAUGCAUCCUUCCUUCCAAGUCCACCGAGUCAAUGCUCCGGUGCACACCUUCAGCCGAAGGUCCUGGGAGUGGAAGUUGUGUGAGUGGAGGUGGUGUGAGAAUUUGUAAUUUUUAUCGCCGCACGGCACGCGUUUCUCGUGGGGAUGGGAAUGUGGAUGUGGAUGGGCUGGCCUUUGUUCGAUGGGCUCCAAAGUCAGGAGGCGGGCGAGCCCUAUGUUUAUGUUUGGACAACACGCCUUUAUGAUUUCUGUUUGAUUGCCGCCGCCGAGCAAAAGUAGAAUGACGAUGACCGGACCACCAGCCACCAGCCCAACCAGUAAACGCCAUUAGUCACACAUUGCGGAAUGGGGCUCGUUGUGGCGCUCAAGUGGAAAAUUGAAUUUAUCACUUGAACAUGCCAAGCAAACGUUUGUUCGCCCUCGCAUUUAACUUGCCCUACUGACUGCUGCUGCACUGCUUGGUGAUUUUUCCUGGCUAAUUUUCAGUGGAAAUUUCAUUUCGAUUGUGAAAUCGUGAAAAGGGCAAAUCUAUUUUUGCCUUUCGGCAAGUCGUGUGGCGCGGUGAUUAGUCGCUGGAUUUGCAUAAAACGCUGCCAUAAAUUGUUGCAAAUUGAAAAUAGCACAGAAAUACAGCAAUACAGCUGUACAAGAACAACAACUGCCAUAAAUUGCAUUGGUCGGAGUAAAUAAAUUAGAACGAAUUACAUUACAAUGCAGCAAGCAUUUUAAGCUUGGCAUUUUCAUUCCCAGUUUGGCCAGUUGCGGUCGGUCGCUGGUGGUUUUAUUUAUGGCCAGCGACCCAUAAAUCUGAACAGUUUGUCAGCUGUGCAGUUUAAUUAAAACAAAAAUUAUCUAAAUUAUUGUCAGAGACACGGCUGAAAGGCAACUCAUUUUAUUCCACACCAUUGAAAUGCAUAAAUAUGCAGAUGCGUACGUAAAUUUUUCGGGCUUUAGUCUCCUCCAUCAAGGACAAGGCGAUUCGGCACAUGAAAUAAACUCUAUCGAAAUCACACAUGUAAAUCUAAACACCAACACACACACUCACUCACACGCCCAACAAAAAAAAAACACACACACACAGAUACUCACCAGCACACAUUCAAUCUUGUUGUGGCCCAUAAGUAUGCAAUGCUGUGCAUAAAAUACAAGUACGCAACUUGUUUCCUUUCCUUUCCCUUUGGUGACUGCGGUGGAAAAAGGGGAAAGAGGAAAAGUGGUGGAAAAUGGGGGUAAAGCGGGUCGUGCUGGUCGUAAAUUUACAUAUUUUGCAUAUAAAUAAAACGGAUUUUGUCGCCGGCGAAGCCAGCGCUGAAAUGUCACAGCAUAAAAUGGCGAAAGAAGCGCCAAAUAAAUACAAAAUAAAAUAGCCACAAAAUGGCCAAAAAGGCGAGCAAUAGUUGGGCGAGCAGCCAAAGGCCAGGGAGUCGCGUCUGUCGCAGAGGUGUGCCCCCUGCUCCCUGCCCCCUGCCCACUGAACCCUGCCGCCUGCUGCAUGCCCCACGACCACGUCCUGCCCCCUGAUCUUGCCACACUGUUGCCAAGUAAGCAAAUUGAGUGCGCCACGUCUGAGUUAUGGCAGUCUGCCGAAGCAGAUACAAAAUAGCACCAGCAUUGAUAGCAAAGCCUUCCCAACUGGCUCCUUGGGCGUGGUCAUAAACCAGGCAGCUCACAUGGAGAAAAUAUUACAGAGAAAUUGGUCAUCUAUCUGCAGAAAUAACUCUAUUUUUAAUUUCUGAUUAUGAGCUCUGUCUGCAACAUCUUUCGCUGUAUAUAAACACCUUCUAGUAACAGCUAAAUGAACCACAUCUUUAAUUAGAAAUUCUAUGCAUAUGGCUGCUCUUUGUACUUUUCUUCAGAAGAUUCAGCGGCAAAAAUAGAAAUGUAUUGCACAUUGCCGCCUCACGUAGAAUAAACUAGCAAGUUUAAUGCGAAAAUGAAAUAAGAUUUAUAGACGACUUGAUAUUAAAGAUUUAUUACGUUUUCGAUCAAACUGAUAAGACAUACUCGUUAUUUACUUUUUGAAGUGGAAAAUUUAAUGGACAAAUCGAAAUGCUAAUGUGGUGAUAAUUUAAGUAGAUAGUUUUUUUUCGUCUGCACAUUAUAUAUGUGAUAUAUAUGGACGAUAGGGGUUUAUGUUCUGGGUUCUAUGGCCACUUAAGCUUGGAAUUGAACUAGUUGCCGAUUUGGUUUAUGGCUCUAGAAAUUGAAAGGCGCAAGUGUCAAAUGCACGCAGCAAAAGCGAAACGAUGGGGGAAAAUGUUGCAGGGGCCAGAGAAAGUGGAGCUCUCUAAUGUGUGUUUGUUUUGCUUUCACAAAACGCUGCCGGGAAUCGGGAAACGGGUGUGGCAAGGGGGAUAGUGGGGAUCAUGGGUUGAGUGGCACUAAAUCAUCUAAUGCCCCUGCUCAUUAGCAAUCAAUGCACAGCAGUAGCGGCAAAAGCAGCAGCAAAGCAAACAAAACAACAACAUUCGGCGGAGGGGCAAAACGCAAAAGGCUGCCAACACUUCACACUUCAUUGGAGCUCCGCCUUUGAGUCACAGGCAAAAUGGCGCUAAGCACACACACACCACACACACACACUCAUAUGGAGGGGGUGGUGUUGGGUGUUGAUGGUUGGAGGAGGCGAACGAUUAACAAGCAAAUUAGCAUGAAAUUAUUUCAAAACAGGCGCACACAGUAAAUAAAUCAAUUAGCUCAACAACAAAAAAGAGCAAUCAGCAGCAGCAAGUGCCGAGCUUCGAGCUUCGAAGGAGGUCGCGACAGCUGCCUCAUUGGUAAACAAAAGCGAACAAUUAAAAGCUUUUCCAGCAUAUGCACAACACAUUGCUGCACUUGGGAAAACAAGCGCCAUAAUGGGGAAAAACUCAAGACAUUUGCCAAACUUUUAUCUUUAAAAUAGAAACGAAAUUUAAUCCGGGAGAUUACAAUUGGAUAAUAUGCUUUCUGAAAUGAAACUUAAACAUGCUAGAAAUAUUUAGCAAAAAUGUUCUAAACAGACUCCUUUUUUCUCGGAGUGUGGGUGGGAGUGUAGGCCAAAAUUUGGGCCAAAGUGCAAGUAAACGCGGCGGCGAGUUCCCAUGACUUGGCAUCUGCAUCUGCACUUGUCAUGUGGGGGGCGUUCAAAAGAUCCGCUUGAUGGCAAACGCAGCUGCAGAUACAGAUACAGAUACAGAUACAGAUACAAAUACAGAUACUAAGAUAUCUGCAUAUACUACAGAUACAAGGCAGCACAGCACUUGCCCCGUCACAUUAUUUUAAUUAUUUGUUUACGCAAGGCAAACAAACUUGCUGGCGGCACUUGUCUUGUCUUGUUUCUGGAUCAUCGUUAAAAGUUACGAGCUGCUGUUUUUUUGAGCUCUGAAUUCUCUGAACUGGAUGCUCCAAGCUGCGAGCUGGGAAGCUGGGAAGCUGAGUAGCUGAGAAGCUGGGGAACAGGCCGAAAACAAAGCCAAGGCGCCUAAUUAGCCAUCCCCGAGUCGGCGUCAUGCGAAUUUGUCAAAUUAAGCAGCAGACGCUGCGCUUUGGCUCCAAUGAGUCAGCUGUUCGGCACGCCAGUGUCAGAAUUAACGUUCCCGAAAAUGUGCAGGCAAUUAUCGAGGCCAGCUGGCAGCCAAAAAUAAAGCAGGAGCAAUGUAAAUGCGCGGAGGACCAACAACUGCCUUACUGGCCAGGCGCACUUGUGGUGGGGGCAUUUUGGGCGGAUGAGGAUGCAGGAUGCGCGGCGCCAGC